CUCUACUAUUAUCUAGUAUUACUAUAUUUUUCCAUUAACAUAAAAAAACAUAUUCUUUCUCAUUUUUAUUGAAUAAAUAAAAGUAAUAAAUAAGCAAAAAUUUCAUUUUUAUCUAGAAUUUAAAUUGUAAAAAAAAACUUCAUAAAAGAUUAGGAAAAGUAAAAGUAUAUGAUAUAGAAACCUAUAAUAUAAAUGAAUACAAAUAAAAACAAACAAAUCGAACCAAAUUAUAAAAAGUACUUGUUAUUUUUAAAGUUUAAAGAAACUAUGUAAGGCAAAUAGUACUAAAUAAAAAAAGGAGCAAUAACGCCCUCUUGUUUUAUCAAGAGGGAAGCUAUUGCUCCUUUUUUAGUUCAAAAACUCCUAUACAAUCAGACCAAAGUC
rnacentral:misc_RNA from 1 species